rnacentral:rRNA from 1 species
UACGAAGGGGGCUAGCGUUGCUCGGAAUCACUGGGCGUAAAGCGCACGUAGGCGGAUUGCUAAGUCAGGGGUGAAAUCCUGGAGCUCAACUCCAGAACUGCCUUUGAUACUGGCGAUCUUGAGUCCGGGAGAGGUGAGUGGAACUGCGAGUGUAGAGGUGAAAUGCGUAGAUAUUCGCAAGAACACCAGUGGCGAAGGCGGCUCACUGGCCCGGUACUGACGCUGAGGUGCGAAAGCGUGGGGAGCAAACAGG